rnacentral:sRNA from 1 species
AUGAUUGGGAAGUCUUCCCUUGCAAAGGCCAUCACCGGACAGAACUUCGACGAGGGAUACAUUGCUACUACAGAAGACAGCUAUUCAGCCUCCUUAUCCGUGGCUGGGGACAAAUAUUCUCUCAGCAUUCUGGAUUUAUCUGGACAGCAUGAUUACGAUCAAGUCAGAACGCAGGAAUACAGAAGCAACGAUAUCUUUGUCGUCUGCUUCAGCGCCGUGGAUCGGGAGUCCAUGGAGAGCGUGCGUGAAUUCUGGGUCCCCGAGAUCCAGCAGGUGGACAGGAAACGACCUGUUGUCCUGGUGGCCACCCAGACGGACCUCAGACAGGGGAGACUGACCACAUCACCAAGGAAGAGGGACAGAGCCUCGCCAAACAGAUCGGAGCGUUCUGUUACGUAGAGUGCUCAGCAGCCGACAAGACGGGCAUCAAGGAGGUAUACGAACAAGUGGUGAUGGCCACCUUGAAAUGCAGGAAGCGCCGCUCCAGUCUCAUCAAACGAGUGUUCAGCC